rnacentral:rRNA from 1 species
AAGCGCUUGCAACCAGACUUGCGCGCGACGGUUCCCCCUUCCUUCUGGUUGGGCUACUCCGUCGCGUUCAGGCCAGCAUCGGUUCGGGUGGCAGGAUAAAGGCCUUGGGAAUGUAGCUUCUUUCGGGGAGUGUUAUAGCCCUCGGUGCAAUGCCGCCUACCUGGACCGAGGACCGCGCUUCGGCUAGGAUGCUGGCGUAAUGGUUGUAAGCGA